AGUUAAACUCAGAUAUUGUAAUCUGAGUGUAUCAAGGCCUUGAGGAGAUCACUUUGGUCUUUAGCACUUGGGAUCUUCUUUGUACUUAUGCAGUAUAGGUUUAUUCACUAAUGCUUCCAAUCUAAGAGUGAAGACACACAACAGCAAAUCAUCAGGGAGACUUUCCAUUUGGUAUCUAAGAGAGAUGAAAAUGUUUGUAAUUUCCUAGAAGGAGGAUUUUCAUAAUCAGUCUUAAGCUGUGUAGCUUACUGUGACCUAUGGAGUUAAAUCUAAUUAAUUGGAGGAUCUGACAACAAAUUGAUUUAUAGACAUUAUGCAACAUUGUAUUUUGUCUUCUGUGUGGAUUCUUCAGAAAGUGAACUUGGCAUUUUAGAUCUAAUUCAAGUAUUCGUGGAAACAUUAGACAAGUGUU